CCCAGGGAGCUCUGAUUGUGUUUAUACUCCUACAGUCACAGCGAGGGAUUUUCUCCAUCUGGGGUUUGAUUUGAAGGAGUUUCAGAGUUUUUUUUGUUUUCAACCAAAGCAAGGAUUUUCUAAAUUUUGGAAUAUCAGUCUGUCAGUAAAGAUUUCUUCUGAGAACAACUCUUAAGACUGAAGAUGUCUUUAAAGAGGCGCCUGCUGUCCAUGUUGUUGUGCUGUGUUUACUGCGUGGCCUCGCUCUUCUGCCUCCAUCCAAACCGCAACAACUGCUUCUCUGCCGGAGCUCGGAAUCUGGUGUCAGUUGUCCAACAGCUUUACCAGCGAGCCAUUCGGCUGCUGCGCACCACUCUGUGAUUCCACACCACUUCCUGUGCCUGAACAAGUAAGGCUGGAUUUCAUCAAGAAUGCCCUCUAGAAGAAGAAACAGAGGAAAUGCAUCCCUAAACUUUCGGACUGCAGAGUUUCCAUCCACUCAGUUUCCCAACUGCCCGUUUUUGUUUAUUAUUGAUAUUUUCCAACUAUAUUUUAAAUGUAGAGGAGAAGAAUACCUAGCCAAUGUCUAUUUUUCUACUGAUGAAGUUUAGCAUUGUGGAUAUUUGCUGUUUGACAUGUGAGUGAUGUGGAAAGGACACCAGCAGUCCUCUUUUAAAAGCGUUUAAGGGGUUUACUGCAGUUUUUUUUAUUUACAUAAAAAAAGCUGGGUAGCCGAAAAUUUGCUGAUUUAAAUUCCGGGAGGCUCUGUGAGUUGUAAUGUUUGAAAUGCAAGCGCAAACUUUCUUCCCUCUGCUAAUAACUACCAAAGAGCUGUUUUUGUGUUCUGUUUCUACUGUAUCCUGUGAUGUAAGUGCUGUCUUCACAGGUUCAAAAUGCAGGAAAAUCCACAAGAAACAGAGGAGCAUGAUGCUCCUGAAAAGGAAAGAGAAUGAUAAAAACAAGACAGUAGAUCAUAAUCAAAACCCAUUGAAUGCAACCUGGACUAACUACUAAAGCUUAAACACUGCAGUAACACUUUGCUCAUUCAUUGCAAAUAUGUGCCACGGUUGUACAAGAAACAUAAGCCUUAGACAUGUUAGCUGAACCAUGUUGCCCUUAUGCCCUUUACUCCUAUUACAUAAGUGAAACUGUAGCUCAACAUUUCAUCAUAUGAAAAAUUUCAGGUGUCAUAUUUUGAAAGGUAAUGUCAUUUGUGCACAGCAUUUUUAUUUGUGUCCCUGAUGGAAGUAUGUUUUCAUGCUGUGCAGCUACCUGAUGAGCAACUCUCAGGUGCUUAAAGCACCAAACAGAUGCAGUUUGAGGGGGGUGGGUACUUUUUUUUUUAAUGCUAAAGUAAUGGGAGUGAAUUUAUUUUGUAACACUUGCAGGUAAUGAAGGUAGUUAGGUUGCAUGGGUAAGUUUAAAUACAACGGGUCAACCAUGCAAACCAACAGCCAUUAGACAAUGCACAAGAGAGGUGAGGAAGAGAGCACAGGCAGAGUCGAGGAGGUGGGCGUAGAUGACUGUCAGGGGUGAUUUUUGGCAGGUGAUCUGAUAUGUCAACCUCAAGCUGCUUCUUCUGGAGCAGCCAGAAGAAGAAGAAAACAAACACUUUAGCAUUAGAGCAGUUAGGUGUGAAAGAAUCCAACAGGAAAUCAUAAUAAAAUAAGAAAGAAAACUUUGCAUCGUAUGUAAAAUCAAUUUCAUUAAGAAAUCGGAAAAAAAUAAAAACUUGGGUUGUUUCAAGUUGCCGAUUUUAUGUUUUAUUGAGAAUGGAGUUUCUCAUCUGUUGCAAACACGCAAGAAAAAAAAAUGCCGAAUAUGCGUUGCCAUACAACUGAGAGCACAAAGAUAAAGGAGUAAGGGUUCAUUAAAGAAAUAUGAUGAUGGAAACGCUAGGGUGUGAUUAAAUAUAUCACAGUUUGAAUGCUGUGGAUGGAUUUUAAUUUAAUGUGCUACCUGAAAAGAUAUUAGAAAACUAUGUACUUUUCUUACUUUUGUAUGACUGCGUGUUUCACACCGUUCAGGGGAAGACCUGUUCCACAGUACA